GUGCUUACUUCAGCUGCAUAUAUACUAAAACUCAGAAUGAUACAGAGAGGAUGAGCAUGGUCCCUGCACAAGGAUGAUAUAUAUGCACACCCACGUUCAU
rnacentral:snRNA from 1 species